GGUUGUAGCUCAGUGGUAGACCGCUUGCCUAGCAUGCAUGAGGCACUGAGUUCAAUUUUUGGCACCA
rnacentral:tRNA from 1 species